GAGAGAUCAAGCGUCUGAAGGGCAUCUGGUGGAUGCCUUGGCACUGAGAGGCGAUGAAGGACGUAGCACGCUGCGAUAA
rnacentral:rRNA from 1 species